UUUAGUUGACAGCUAGCUCUCUGCAACUCUCACAUGGUCACCACCUGAAGCCAAGCAGGGCUGCGCCCAGUCAGUACCUGGUUGGGAGACCACAUGAGAAAGCUAGGUUUCUUGCAAAAA
ensembl:rRNA 5S_rRNA 5S ribosomal RNA